GUGGUAAAAUAGUUUAUUGAUUAUGUGUGUAAUUGUUACUUUUCCUUAGAAUUUUUGAUGCGGAAGAUUAUUCUGGAAAUAUUAGUAUAGCCACUAGUAUACAUUCUAUAGUUACCUUAUCUCACUAAGUUUCAAGACAAGAAUAUCUUAGGUUUGUUUAAUUUCAUGUGAAAAGCUAAAUUCAUUAUUCAGGUUGUGAUGAACUGAAACUUUCUUGUUUAAAGCUCUUGUUAAGUUCACUUCAAAUAGCAUUGAAUUUUUUUGUGAACCUGCCUUCAUCAUGCUGGUUAAGGAAGUUAUGUUAUGGAUCUAAGCUUUGUAGGACUAUGUGUUACAAGAUACCUUUGAAAGAUCUGCUUCACUACAUGGAACCCCAGAGUUCAUUAAUGUUGGAGAUUUUUGGAAAUUAAUUUCUCAGUAAUGUGUCUUAAGUUACAAAACAUGAAGUGUCUUACUUGUGGAACAUUGGUAGACUAUGAUGAAGAAAACAAUUAUAAUCUUUUUUUGGUUUUAAUAAUAAUUCCAAAUCAUUUUAAAUUAAUAAUAAUUAA